AAAAAGAUAAGCUAAAUUGUAAAGCUUAUGGGUUCAUACCCCAUCGAUGAAUAAAUUCUCUUUUUA
rnacentral:tRNA from 1 species